CCCUGUAGAAACACGUGGUUUAUUAGUAGAUAAAUACGGCCCCAUGCCGCUCUUACAUCCUUUCUGCUCGUAACGCUCAACGGCGUUGUAACGUUUUCAAGUAGCCUAGUGAUAAAAAUAUAUAUUUUUUUUCUUUGCAUCCACGUUUUUGUUUUAAUAUUUAUUUUAAUAACUUGUUAGUGUUGAGAUAUACAUUCCAACUUAAAGCGUUUAAAGGACGUGGAUCACCUUUUUUGUUUGUUUACCGCAGUUUUUUUUACUUGCCAUCAAGCUUCCACAUAAUCUUCCCGCUUCGGUAAACGCAUGUAGGCUCUAACUAAAGGGUGUUUUCAGUCAUACCAGUGUGAAAUGGACGCACCAGAUAUUUUUCGGAACCCACGUUUUGCAAAUGGAGGUGAGCUGAAGUCACGUGUUUCCUCGUGCAUUUGGACUGCUUGUUCGUGUUUCUGUUCGCCAGUAAUGUGGUCAGGUUGUUUCUAAAAAUUGAGCUAUAGUUGGUUUUAUAUUAGCACAUUCGUUUUUUUAACUGACAACCUGACUUUUUUUUUUUUUUUUUUUUUUUUCAAGCUACUUUUAAUAAUUGGUCUUAAAUCGCAUGCAAAUGAUUAAGUCAACAUUUGAUUGACUGAACGUGUACUUUGAUAGUCAUUGCCUGCUAAUGUUUUCCCCAUCUAGAAUUUGUAAAUUUUUCUGAAAAUAUACUAAAAGUCUAAAUGAACGUAAAACCAGCUUUAAUGUUUUUAAAAAGCGUUUUAGCCUUCAUAAUUCUGCAGGAACAUGUGUAUUAUGAGAGGUUUUGUAUUGAAUGGAUCUUUUUUUUUUUUUUUUUACAAAAAAAGUAUUUAUUUUUUUAUUAAUCGUGUAUUAGUUUGUGGUAAACUUUAUUUGUUGAAUUUAUUUAAUUUUUUUAAGUAGUAAGUUUCUAAUAAUAUUGGUUAUUUGACUUGCCAUAUUCACAUUUUACUACUGAAUAACGAAGUUUUAUUAAACUAACUUGAAUCACAAUUGUGUAGACUCGUCCAUUUGUUGCAUUUUUUUUCUUGGUCUCUGCUUGGAAGACAAAUGUAAGCUGAUUGUCACAAAUGAUUUGAAACCGCUUCAAUAAAUGUACAUUGAUUCGAUUCA